CGGCUUGAAUCUACCCGAUGCCAUCAGAUCUCGGAAGCUAACCAGUCAAG
rnacentral:rRNA from 1 species